UGUCGGCAUCAUCGCUUUCCUGCUUCCUUGUACUCCUCGUUCAUAAUUGACCAAAAAUAUGCGCCCUUAUUAGUUUACCAAUUAAAAACGACUACUAAUUAGUAGUUGAACUUUCCCCUGUUUCAUCGACUUUUCUGCUUCCAAAUCUUGAAUCCCCUUCCCGACAUAAAUGCCACAAACCAAGAAAAUCCCAGGAAAAUAUUAGUAGUACCAGUAUCUAAAAUCUAAAAUGCUUCUGAAUCUUUCCUUUUUAGGAGGAAGUUUAGAGUAAUUUUCAUUUUCUUAACUUGUGACCAGGAGCAUUUAUGGCGUUUAGACAGUCGUCGUUUUCUCCACCCCUACUAAAAUUCUUCGAAACUGACUGAUCUGAGUGUUUUUCUAUUCCAUCUUGUGGUGAAACGAGUCGGGUAAAAGAUUUAAUUUGGAAUAUGAAUGUGGAGAAGUCUCAGGUUUGGCAGCCUUGCAAGAAGAAGAGGGAUUUAGAAAUUUGAUAAUUAAAUCAAUAUAUUUUGUACUGCAUAGGGGAAAAUCGAUAAUUUCAGAGAGAGCCCACAAAGGAAAAGCUGUAAAAUGGAUGGGAUUUGUACAAGAAGGGGACGUUGAUUGCUCUUGGGGCGGCUGAGGCCCAGGCAGAAAUAUUUUUGGUUAAAAGAGAAAUAGAGAUUCAUUUGUUAAAAAAAAAGGUGGGAUUUGCGAAUAUGAAGAUGGCAUCAUCAAGAUCAAGCGGAGGUAGCGGAGGGUUCGGUGCUUCGAAGACAAGAGUAGGAAGGUACGAGCUGGGAAAAACAUUAGGGGAGGGGACUUUUGCUAAGGUGAAGUUUGCAAGAAAUAUAGAGACGGGUGAGAAUGUGGCCAUCAAGAUUCUCGACAAAGAGAAGAUUCUCAAACACAAAAUGAUCGGUCAGAUUAAACGUGAAAUAUCAACUAUGAAGUUAAUCAGGCAUCCAAAUGUCAUCCGCAUGUUUGAGGUCAUGGCGAGCAAGACCAAGAUAUAUAUUGUGCUUGAAUUUGUCACAGGUGGUGAACUCUUUGACAAAAUUGCUACUAAAGGUAGGCUUAAAGAAGAUGAAGCAAGAAAGUAUUUUCAGCAGCUAAUUAAUGCUGUAGAUUAUUGUCACAGCAGAGGUGUAUGUCAUAGGGACCUCAAGCCAGAAAACUUGUUGCUGGAUGCAAAUGGAGUUCUUAAAGUCUCAGAUUUUGGAUUAAGUGCACUGCCUCAGCAAGUUCGAGAAGAUGGUUUACUACAUACAACAUGUGGAACACCAAAUUAUGUUGCUCCCGAGGUGAUCAACAAUAAAGGUUAUGAUGGUGCUAAAGCAGAUUUGUGGUCUUGUGGCGUAAUUCUUUUUGUCCUUAUGGCUGGCUACCUGCCUUUUGAAGAAUCAAAUCUCUUGUCAUUGUAUAAAAAGAUCUUUAAGGCUGAAUUCACAUGUCCUCCAUGGUUCUCUUCGAGUGCAAAAAGGCUGGUCAAGAGAAUUCUGGACCCUAAUCCCCAAACGCGUAUUACAAUUGCUGAGCUCAUUGAGAACGAUUGGUUCAAGAAAGGAUAUCAACCACCUGUUUUUCAACAAGAGGAAGUUAGUCUCGAUGAUGUGGAUUCUGUUUUUGAUGAAUCUGCAGAGUCCCAAAACCUUGUUGUGGAGAGACGGGAAGAACAUCCAACUACUCCGUUAACUAUGAAUGCCUUUGAGCUUAUCUCAACAUCUCAGGGUCUCAACCUUAGUUCUCUUUUUGAAAAACAUAUGGGGUUUGUUAAACGGGAAACGAGAUUCACAUCUAAGCGUCCUGCUAAUGAAAUAAUUUCAAAAAUUGAGGAAGCUGCUGUUCCUCUGGGAUUUGGAGUGAAGAAAAAUAACUACAAGAUGAAGCUCCAAGCAGAGAAGACAGGACGCAAGGGCCAUUUAUCUGUUGCGACAGAGAUAUAUGAGGCCAUUUAUCUGUUGCAACAGAGAUAUAUGAGGUGGCUCCUUCACUCUUCAUGGUUGAGCUUCGCAAGGCUGGAGGAGAUACUUUGGAAUUUCACAAGGCACAGAAGCACAUACACGUGCUUAUUUAAGUGGCUUUAAGAUGGCAAAACAGAAAAGCGAAGUGCUUUUCAAGAUGUCAAUGCCAUGUAGACUUGGCAUAGAAUUAUCUCCUAUGUGUGAACUAUGUGGUCUUUAGUUCUGCACAGAAAAUUGCUCUGAAGGAUUUUAUAUAUGUCAUUUGCUUGUUUGCAGCUACUUAUUUUUGCGCUUUUUUAUUUAUAUGCAGUUCUACAAGAACCUUUCAACUGGGUUGAAGGAUAUAGUGUGGAAAACAGGGGAUGAAGCAAAGGAGGAACUCAAUGAUGAGCCUAGAAAUAAUUGAAAUUUCUGUCUCGUUAAUGACUAAUUCCUUUUGGCUGCUGGCUUCUCUGUCUUAUGGAUGUUAGCCAUAAAUAUUCCACUUGGUUCAUGUAUAUGAUGUGCAUGGAAGUCGGUUCUAUUCUUCUUACUUCAAAACUAUUGCCUUUGUUUUACGGUCUUCAAAUUGUCUUCCAUAACAGAGACAUGUAUAAGUUACUAAUUUGACGUCUUCAGUUAUUCAGGAAGAAAAUAUACUUUUGCAUCCAUUAACCAGUA